rnacentral:lncRNA from 1 species
UAAGCUUCCUAUUAGUUAAGAUUUUCUUCUUUAGGCCCCAACAUUCUCUUAAGCUUUAUACUAAAUAUUUAGGUCCUGUAUGUAUAUAUAUUUUUUUAAUGUCAAAAUCAAAGCAAGUUAAGAAACAAAGUAAAGUUCCUUAUACCAACUCUUUUUAAUUUAAUCUACUAGCCACUCUAACAUACAUCUAGAUUUAUUAACAUAUAAUAUGUUCUAACUAAUUUUUACAUAUUAUAAGCAUUUAUAGUACGACAUCGGGCAUCUGGCUGUGGAAGAUAAAACAAUAUUUUGUAAGUAUCCAAGUAAUCUAGUGGGUUUCAACCAUCUAAAUACAACUAUUUCAGAUAUCAAUGUAAAAGCUUAAUCCUAAUACAAAGUGCUUAGAAACACUUUUUUAAUAACUUCUAGAUAUUAUAAACAUAAAUUCUUU